rnacentral:rRNA from 1 species
GAUGAACGCUAGCGGGAGGCCUAACACAUGCAAGCCGAGCGGUAUUGUUUCUUCGGAAAUGAGAGAGCGGCGUACGGGUGCGUAACACGUGUGCAACCUGCCUUUAUCUGGGGGAUAGCCUUUCGAAAGGAAGAUUAAUACUCCAUAAUAUAUUGAACGGCAUCGUUUAAUAUUGAAAGCUCCGGCGGACAGAGAUGGGCACGAGCAAGAUUAGCUAGUUGGUUAGGUAACGGCUCACCAAGGCGAUGAUCUUUAGGGGGCCUGAGAGGGUGAUCCCCCACACUGGUACUGAGACACGGACCAGACUCCUACGGGAGGCAGCAGUGAGGAAUAUUGGUCAAUGGGUGCAAGCCUGAACCAGCCAUCCCGCGUGAAGGACGACUGCCCUAUGGGUCGUAAACUUCUUUUGUAUAGGGAUAAACCUACCCUCGUGAGGGUAGCUGAAGGUACUAUACGAAAAAGCACCGGCUAACUCCGUGCCAGCAGCCGCAGUAACAC